GAAAUCACAUUGCAGGGCAAACACAUUAGACAGCCAUUAACACACUUGCUCCAUGUAAACAUAAUAAGGAUGCCUCGAUUAGCAUAUUUACAGGGUAUUAUAGCACUUCUUUCCAUCAGUCAGUCCCCUGGAGAAUCUAACCCAAUCAAUCGUGCAACUGCAUGGGCAAAAUGGGGUUAAUUUGAUUCCAAAAUCCUUGCCACCAUGUUUUUAAUGCUUGGAACUAACAAGGCUGAGCAAUUUUCAGAAAAGAAAUGAAAUCCAAUGGGAACAGAUUCCUAGAUGUGUAAUUCCUCUUCUUAUUCUUAAGGCUUAUUCUUAUGACGCCACUUCACCCAAAUGUUUUAAGGAGAAACUCUAUCCCACGGACCAAGCUGGACUGCCACAUCUCCCCACUCAGCUCACAAAGACAUUUUUUUUCCUGAAAGUACACCCACCUAAUGUCAUAUGUGAUUUCAGGUGUGGGCAGGAAGAUACAUAACUACAGAAAAUGAUGUGUGGGGAGGUCAAACCUGCUUGGCUUGGGUUCACCAGCUGGUUCUGCUGGGAAACUGAUUGAUAUGUCCCAGCCUUGCACAAUGCAGCAUUUAAUCUGCCACAUACACCUCAGUCAAUAUAUAGGGAGUUCACUCCGGUUGGGUUCAGGUCCACUAGCCAGUUUUCAAUAAGUUGCUUUUAGGGUAUUUCCACUAUUUUCUGGAAACUUUGCAGUUCCUCCCAGGUUUGCUGAUGAGUGUGGAUGGUCUCACUUGGGUUACAAAAAGACCCACACUCACCUCUGAGCUUCGAGGGACUUCAGAGGUGUUUGCCUAUGCUAAUCUUAUACCUGGGUCUUGCCCAGACAUGUCUGCUUAUGCUAAUCUUGUACCAAGGACUUGUCUGGACAUGUUUGCCAAGGUUAAACUAGUGUAACCCCUGUCUACCCCUCCCCUUUUGUGACAUAUCAGUGAUGUAGCAAUGAUGUAGCAAUGAUGCUGUACGAACUGCAUUCUGGGAUAUGGUGGGAAAGUUUAAAAAGUCCUUGUCACCCCAUCCUCGAGGUUCAAAUUCCUCUUUGAACCUGUUGUGCAAUAAACUUUGGUCUACAGCUAUUUGCUCAGUUGGCUGCUGGACUCCUUCCUUAAUUCCACAGGGACCCGCGGGCUCUGCCCGACGAGCUGGGAAAACAGCCAUGUUCAACAUACCAUUGAUAAAAAGGGGGAAAGAAAAGAAGAUCUGAUGUCGGUGGUAAGUCUAAAAAGGUGACCCUGCUCUGUUCUGUACUUGUAUAUGCCUCACACAUGAGGAAUGUGUACACGGGGCUAGCGAGGCAGAUAGAUAGGUCUUCCUUUCCUUCACAAACAAUCUUUUGGCAGUUUUAUGUUGGUCAAGUAAUUGUAGGUUGAAUUAUGGGUUGCCUUUGUCGAUGUAUAUUUGCAUGCCUUGUUUCAACAUGUGCUGAAUGUGCGGAGCUCAGUCUAGAUAUAUGUGCACGCUAUCAGCACAAACCUAUGCAUAUUUAUCAAGGAGUAAAUC
rnacentral:lncRNA from 1 species